rnacentral:tRNA from 1 species
CAGGANAUAUUUUAUAUAGAAUACCA